CCUACGGGAGGCAGCAGUGGGGAAUAUUGGACAAUGGGCGAAAGCCUGAUCCAGCCAUGCCGCGUGUGUGAAGAAGGCCUUCGGGUUGUAAAGCACUUUCAGUGGGGAAGAAAGCCUUGGGGCUAAUACCCUCGAGGAAGGACAUCACCCACAGAAGAAGCACCGGCUAACUCCGUGCCAGCAGCCGCGGUAAUACGGAGGGUGCGAGCGUUAAUCGGAAUUACUGGGCGUAAAGCGCGCGUAGGCGGUCUGAUAAGCCGGUUGUGAAAGCCCCGGGCUCAACCUGGGAACGGCAUCCGGAACGGUCAGGCUAGAGUGCAGGGGAGAAGGGUAGAAUUCCCGGGGAGGCGGUAAAAUGGGUAGGGAUCGGGAGGAAUACCGGGGGCGAGGGGGCCUUCUGGACUGACACUGACGCUGAGGUGCGAAAGCGUGGGUAGCAAACAGGAUUAGAUACCCUAGUAGUC
rnacentral:rRNA from 1 species